UCUUCCGUAGCAUAGUGCUCGGUAUGUGAGUUUGUCAAUCCCUCUUGGGGAUGCCUUCGCUCGGGACCCGGGUUCAAUUCCCGGCGGGAGAA